GGCUUGGUAGCUCAGUCGGUAGAGCAAAGGACUGAAAAUCCUUGUGUCCGCGGUUCGAUUCCGUGCCAAGCCA
rnacentral:tRNA from 1 species